rnacentral:tRNA from 1 species
GGCCCUUACCCUUGGAGGGACAUUUGUCUUGAAAACAAAUAUAAAGUGUUCGACUCACUUGAUGGCCU